rnacentral:rRNA from 1 species
GAUGAACGCUGGCGGCGUGCCUAAUACAUGCAAGUCGAGCGAACAGAUAAGGAGCUUGCUCCUUUGACGUUAGCGGCGGACGGGUGAGUAACACGUGGAUAACCUACCUAUAAGACUGGGAUAACUUCGGGAAACCGGAGCUAAUACCGGAUAACAUAUUGAACCGCAUGGUUCAAUAGUGAAAGGCGGCUUUGCUGUCACUUAUAGAUGGAUCCGCGCCGUAUUAGCUAGUUGGUAAGGUAGCGGCUUACCAAGGCAACGAUACGUAGCCGACCUGAGAGGGUGAUCGGCCACACUGGAACUGAGACACGGUCCAGACUCCUACGGGAGGCAGCAGUAGGGAAUCUUCCGCAAUGGGCGAAAGCCUGACGGAGCAACGCCGCGUGAGUGAUGAAGGUCUUCGGAUCGUAAAACUCUGUUAUCAGGGAAGAACAAAUGUGUAAGUAACUGUGCACAUCUUGACGGUACCUGAUCAGAAAGCCACGGCUAACUACGUG